GCGAAUAUAGUUCAGUUGGUAGAACGCUACCUUGCCAUGGUAGAGGUCGCGGGUUCGAAUCCCGUUAUUCGCU
rnacentral:tRNA from 1 species